CCCUUAGAUGUCCUGGGCCGCACGCGCGCUACACUGAGUGUCUGAGAUACGAGUCUGCCUGGUCCGGCAAGGUCUAGGUAAUCGCUAAAAGACACAUCAUGCUUGGGAUAGAUUAUUGCAAAUAUUAAUCUUGAACGAGGAAUUCCUAGUAAGCGCAAGUCAACAGCUUGCGUUGAUUACGUCCCUGCCCUUUGUACACACCGCCCGUCGCUACUACUGAUUGGAUGUUUAAGCGAGGUUCUCGAACUGCGAGCGACUUAGCUUCGGUGAGGUCGCAGUGUGGGAAGUGAACCUAGCUUUGGUGUCUAGAGGAAGUAAAAGUCGUAACA
rnacentral:rRNA from 1 species